GGCGCUACCGGGCGGCACUGCGCGGCUCGGUCCGGUCCGGUGCGGCGCUGCGCGGCUCGGUUCGGAGAUGGCCGCCCCAGAUACCGGCAGCACAGGCGGUGUCAUCAGCUACGUGGGCUCCGUGGGGUCCCCCCCCCGCGCCAGCCCCGUCCCGCUGUGCAGCGAAGGCUCCGUCGGCGGCCCUCAGUCCGUCCCCCUCUACUUCCC
rnacentral:lncRNA from 1 species